rnacentral:rRNA from 1 species
GUAUCACUUAAAGCGAUUCAGCGGGUUACGAUUGACGGAGCGAAGCGACGUCAAAGCGUAUACAAAGUCGAGUCGGUUUAAGGAUACGUUCGUUGGGUAGGGGAGCGUUCUGUAAGCCUGUGAAGGUGUGUCGUGAGGCAUGCUGGAGGUAUCAGAAGUGCGAAUGCUGACAUAAGUAACGAUAAAGCGGGUGAAAAGCCCGCUCGCCGGAAGACCAAGGGUUCCUGUCCAACGUUAAUCGGGGCAGGGUGAGUCGACCCCUAAGGCGAGGCCGAAAGGCGUAGUCGAUGGGAAACGGGUUAAUAUUCCCGUACUUGGUGUUACUGCGAAGGGGGGACGGAGAAGGCUAUGUUGGCCGGGCGACGGUUGUCCCGGUUUAAGCGUGUAGGCUGGUUUUCCAGGCAAAUCCGGAAAAUCAAGGCUGAGGCGUGACGACGAGGCACUACGGUGCUGAAGCAACAAAUGCCCUGCUUCCAGGAAAAGCCUCUAAGCAUCAGGUAACAUCAAAUCGUACCCCAAACCGACACAGGUGGUCAGGUAGAGAAUACCAAGGCGCUUGAGAGAACUCGGGUGAAGGAACUAGGCAAAAUGGUGCCGUAACUUCGGGAGAAGGCACGCUGACACGUAGGUGAAGUGAUUUACUCAUGGAGCUGAAGUCAGUCGAAGAUACCAGCUGGCUGCAACUGUUUAUUAAAAACACAGCACUGUGCAAACACGAAAGUGGACGUAUACGGUGUGACGCCUGCCCGGUGCCGGAAGGUUAAUUGAUGGGGUCAGCGCAAGCGAAGCUCCUGAUCGAAGCCCCGGUAAACGGCGGCCGUAACUAUAACGGUCCUAAGGUAGCGAAAUUCCUUGUCGGGUAAGUUCCGACCUGCACGAAUGGCGUAAUGAUGGCCAGGCUGUCUCCACCCGAGACUCAGUGAAAUUGAACUCGCUGUGAAGAUGCAGUGUACCCGCGGCAAGACGGAAAGACCCCGUGAACCUUUACUAUAGCUUGACACUGAACAUUGAGCCUUGAUGUGUAG